AGCUGUCAUCGAUUGGCUAACUGCUAUAGACAAGCCAAUCGAACAAACUUUCUAAAUUUUCAUACGAACUGGCAGCACUUAAAUCGAAUUGUCUAUACUUCGUCGCACUAAACUUUUCUACCACCCUCCAUUUCUUACGUUUUCUGUAGCAAAUAGAAUUUUUAUUAAAGUUUUUUAUUCAAUAAAUUUAAUACAAAAAUAGUUGAUUUAUCUUCACCUGCCAUUUUCAAUUUCAAAUUUGUGUAUAACAAUUUUUAUUAUUUUGACAGUAAUUUGUCCUUUGAGCCGUUCACAAUAGUAAAAUGGUUCUAAAAUGUGUAAAACAAAACUUGGUAGCACUCAGCAAGCGACGAGUGAAAUUUUAAUGAGGCGAGCAGCGCUCAAAGAUAGCGAGCAGAGAAGUGACCAAUCGAUGGCAGCUAAUAUAUUGCUAAUGAUAAUUAUUUUGUGACGACAAUAAAACUCAGCUAGUUUAUUUGGCGGGAAAAUGUUACUUUUGCAUAGUCUAUGCUAGGUAUUAGUAGCAUUAUAUCGCAUUCUUGUUUAUCGAUUCGGUUUGUAACUUUGUAGCAAGGGACAAUUACAUCUCGUAAAAUAAUAUAUUUAUAUUAUGCUUCGUAACCUUGGUACUAUAUUUGGCGUUUAUAGGCGCAUUGUUUUGUGCCACCGUGAGAAAACUCUACAUGGAAUUCGAAGGAGUCAU